GAUGAACGCUGGCGGCGUGCCUAAUACAUGCAAGUCGAGCGAACAGACGAGGAGCUUGCUCCUCCGACGUUAGCGGCGGACGGGUGAGUAACACGUGGAUAACCUACCUAUAAGACUGGGAUAACUUCGGGAAACCGGAGCUAAUACCGGAUAAUAUAUUGAACCGCAUGGUUCAAUAGUGAAAGACGGUUUUGCUGUCACUUAUAGAUGGAUCCGCGCCGCAUUAGCUAGUUGGUAAGGUAACGGCUUACCAAGGCAACGAUGCGUAGCCGACCUGAGAGGGUGAUCGGCCACACUGGAACUGAGACACGGUCCAGACUCCUACGGGAGGCAGCAGUAGGGAAUCUUCCGCAAUGGGCGAAAGCCUGACGGAGCAACGCCGCGUGAGUGAUGAAGGUCUUCGGAUCGUAAAACUCUGUUAUUAGGGAAGAACAGAUGUGUAAGUAACUAUGCACGUCUUGACGGUACCUAAUCAGAAAGCCACGGCUAACUACGUG
rnacentral:rRNA from 1 species